AGUGAACGCUGGCGGUAGGCCUAACACAUGCAAGUCGAACGGCAGCACAGUAAGAGCUUGCUCUUACGGGUGGCGAGUGGCGGACGGGUGAGGAAUACAUCGGAAUCUACUUUUUCGUGGGGGAUAACGUAGGGAAACUUACGCUAAUACCGCAUACGACCUACGGGUGAAAGCAGGGGAUAUUCGGACCUUGCGCGGUUGGACGAGCCGAUGUUGGAUUAGCUGGUUGGCGGGGUAAAGGCCCACCCAGUCGACGAUCCGUAGCCGGUGUGAGAGGAUGGUCAGCCACACGGGAACGGAGACACGGACCAGACUCCUACGGUAGGCAGCAGUGGGGAAUAUUGGACAAUGGUCGGAAGCCUGAUCCAGCCAUACCGCGUGGGUGAAAAAGGCCUUCGGGUUGUAAAGCCCUUUUGUUGGGAAAGAAAAGCAGCAGGUUAAUACCCCGCUGUUCUGACGGUACCCAAAGAAUAAGCACCGGCUAACUUCGUG
rnacentral:rRNA from 1 species